GUGUAAAUUAAUUUUAUAGAUGAAAUUGAAUCAAAAGAACAUUUAUAAUACGUGUUCCUAUGUUUACGUUCUGCUGUACACGUAAGCAUUUGAGUUUUGAGAGAAAUUAAAUAAAAUUAAUAAACAAUAGUAGUUACACGUCAGGGUACAUAUUUGUACCUGCUAACAUAGUUAUCUAAAAUUUCUGAGUUACUAAUACUUUUAGAGAGCAGAAAUAGAACAUGGAUUACAAUUCGUAACGACUCAUGGGGUUUUCUAGGGAUAAAAUAAAACCAUUUAUUUUGUAUUUAGAUCUGUCAAAACACAAAUUUCCCCAGUUUUUUGCAUUCCAUGGGCAAAGUAAGUUGAUUUAUUUUUGAUUUAAGAUCAAAUCUGCAAAUCUAUUGGAAUUGCUUAACAAAUUAGCAGACAAAAUUGGGAACCUUUUUAAGACGGAGUAUUUGGGGUAUUAUUAUACCAAACAAAGCGGUAAAAAGCCUCAGGGGAAGAUCUAUUAUAAAUAUUAUAAUUCUAGACGACUUCUCAGCCUUGUCUCCAGGAGCACAGCACAAACGAGUUUUUGACCUUGAUGAACCAGAAUCCGAUGUUUCCGAGCACAUUAAAGAAAUUAUAAGGGACAAUUGUACUUGGGCGGAAUUGAGAUCACAAAAGCCGAAUAAAAAGUGGAUAUCCUAGCCAAAUGGAAGCAGUAUAAGAACCCGAUUGGCUUUAAAUUGAUCAAUAUGGAUUUCAAACACCUAUAUCCUAAAGCUGAGAGUUUAUUAUUGAAAUAUGAUGAUUAUUCUGUAAAAAAUUAUACCCAUUUUUGAAGACGAAAUAAAGGAUCCAACUAGUCGCCAGACCUUAAGCGAAAUGAUGAAUAAUGAAAAAAAUGUACUCGAAAAUGGACGUGCCUGUGGCAUUUUUUAUUUAAUUCACAGCCUUCUUAUAACAACAGCUAAACUCAUCACUGGCAGUGGAUCACAGAAUGCCAUUACUCGUUUUUCUAUUCGGGACUCCCAAGCUAGCUUUCUUAUAGUUGGAUCAACUGUAGUGGCAUGCGACGAAGAGAUUCUCCGGAGACAAAAAGAAAAAAAAAACAAUUAACCACUGGUCAUUGUUACUGGAACAAUUUUGGAUCCUAAGGACAUCGUUGUAUUUUUCGAUGGUAUAAAGUUCAAACAAAAUUCAAUUAUUUUAGCAAUUGAUCCGUGUUUCAAAAUUUUUAAUUUAUUUAAUUUGGAAUAUCCUACUGAUUCAAGUUUGGUUUGGGCUUUUAUUCAAAACUUUUUUUUAUAAAGUUGAAACUAGUUAUGAUAAGCACCAUAAUACAGUAAUCAGUACAAUUAUUUUUCAGUAAAUAAAUUUGUUUAAAGUAGAAAAAUAUUUUCUACUUUAAAGUGAA